GCUCCUUAUGAGAAUCUAAUGCCUGAUGACCUAUCACUGUCUCCCAUCACUCCCAGAUGGGACCGUCUAGUUGCAGGAAAACAAGUUCAGGGCUCCCACUGAUUCUACAUUAUGAUCAACUGCAUGGGGUCCUACAGGAGAAGACCAAGAGACAGAGACAGGGACCAGGGAAAAUGACCGAUACCAUUCCUUCUCAGGGAUGCUACACACCCAUGGGGCAGAGGACAAGAGGUUCCUGAAGGCAUCACCCCUCUGGCCAUGGCUAGUGUGCAGACAAAGCUGGAGAUUUGGAGUAGCCUGUUGUCCCACUGACUCUUAGACUGCCCCAGCUAAGAAGAACCAACUCCUCCUAUUACAGAUGAAAUAAACAAAGCUACUCAAGCUCUCUGGCAUCGCCCUGACGGUCAUCAUGUGCUUCACAUUUCCCUCCUGCCCCCCCCCCCCCCCCGAUUUUCUGGAAAAGGGAGAAAGUGUGUGAAAAAAAAUGGACAAUAACUUCUGUUAACUUUAUAGAUGGCUGGUUCCUCCAUAUGAGGCUGUGCUUGAAUCAAUUUUGGAGAGAGGGUUUCUAAAGUCUCUCUAGAUUCUAUUAAUUUUGAUAGAGACAAUAAAAGGCAGCAGGACCAACGCUGUGUGGUGGGAGAUCUAGCAACCAUUAUAGUCACAAUAGCCACCACUUACUGAACACCCACCAUGUGACAAAGAACAAAUGUGCAUGAAUUAUGUCACAUUUUUCACAAGCACCCCUUGAGUUGGGAGUUCACUCAUGAGGCAACUGAGGUUCAGGGAGAUGAAGUAACUCACCCUGUAGGUAGAAGGGCUGAGAUCUGGACGUAGAUCUUUCCUCCAAAGCUUUGUCUUUUUUUUUCUACUAUAGCACACCAAAGAGAGUUCUAGAAAAAAUGAGAAUAAGAAAUUUACCUGUAAUCCUUGUUCAAGAAACUGAAGCUCUGAGGCCACAUUGUUCCAGCCUUUUGCAGCUCCUGCAUGUGGAUACCAGCACCAGCAGCUCCCCGACCAGGGGCCCCAGCUAAGCCCUCCCAGAGGAUGAUCUUGGCUUUGUACAUGGGGUGCCAAUAUCCUGUGAGUCCAACAGAGGGAAGACAUAAGAAUAUGGUCACCCAGGUUUUGUACAGAGGAAAUCCAGCCUCCUAACGAUGGUGAAAGAUGGGAAUAAAAGGAUCAGAACACUGAGCUGGAUCUUCAGUUCAUUUCAGGUAUGGAGAAGGGUAAAUGGUCUUUAAAGAAGGCCGACCUCAAUGAAGGUGUCUUCCAAGGCCUUGUCCACUCAAGGACAUGUUGCAUGCCUGAAACUGAGUAUACAGGAAAAGGAUAGAAAUGGAAUAAAAUGGAAACCCAUAAAUCACACUACCCUGCUAUGCAGUUUCAAACCACUGACUUGAUGAAACGUUGAUCCACUUUGCCAUGGAUGCCCCACUUUUUAACUCCUUCUUCAGAGUCCCAGGAGGUGAGGCUCUUCUGUUUAACUGAUUUGCAGAAUUUUUGCUUCUGCUGUUACAAUGGCUUCCAUAGUUGAGUACCAAAGACACUUUACUAUGGUGCCACAGAGAUCAUUUUGCAGAUUAGGAAACAGACUGUUCUACUACCAAGGCUUUGGUUUUUUCUACUCAAUCUUGCACAAUCUCUCACUCUCAGCCCAGAACAUUGCUGCAUUUUUGUGAGCCAUCAGCAUCCAAAGUGAACACAGGGUCUAAAUAACUGAAGAUGGCAUGAGGGAACACACAAUCAGGUCUUUAAAAAAAGAAGAAAGUGAAUAGGCAAACUGAACAGGACAUCUAGGACUGAAAAGCCUCUGUGAACAACUGGACUCAAUAUGAAAUUGACGUGAGCUCACAGAAGACCAGUUGAGUUCCAGAUGUGGUUGGGUAGCUUGGGUUAUGGGCCCGUAUAAAGAAAAUGGUCUCUUCUUGUAAAAGGAAUUCAAAAAAAAGACUAAAAGUCACCCCAAAGAG